rnacentral:snRNA from 1 species
UGCUUUGCGCAGUGGCAGUAUCCUAGCCAAUGAGGAUUCCGAGGCACGAUUAUUGCUACUUGUACAGAGGCUUUGCCUAAGCAUUUCAGUUUUUAGUUCAUUUAUUUAACAAAUAUUCCUGGAGAGCCUACCAAGC